rnacentral:rRNA from 1 species
UACGUAGGGAGCAAGCGUUGUCCGGAAUCAUUGGGCGUAAAGCGCGCGUAGGUGGCCUCAUAAGUCCGCUGUGAAAGUCAAAGGCUCAACCUUUGAAAGCCGGUGGAUACUGUGGGGCUAGAGUACGGAAGAGGCGAGUGGAAUUCCUGGUGUAGCGGUGGAAUGCGCAGAUAUCAGGAGGAACACCGGUGGCGAAGGCGGUUCUCUGGGCAUUACCUGACGCUGAGGAGCGAAAGCGUGGGGAGCGAACAGG